CCUACGGGAGGCUGCAGUGGGGAAUAUUGGACAAUGGGGGCAACCCUGAUCCAGCCAUGCCGCGUGUGUGAAGAAGGCCCUCGGGUUGUAAAGCACUUUCAGUGAGGAAGAACGCCUGGUGGUUAAUACCCUUCAGGAAAGACAUCACUCACAGAAGAAGCACCGGCUAACUCCGUGCCAGCAGCCGCGGUAAUACGGAGGGUGCGAGCGUUAAUCGGAAUUACUGGGCGUAAAGCGCGCGUAGGUGGCUUGAUAAGCCGGUUGUGAAAGCCCCGGGCUCAACCUGGGAACGGCAUCCGGAACUGUCAAGCUAGAGUGCAGGAGAGGAAGGUAGAAUUCCCGGUGUAGCGGUGAAAUGCGUAGAGAUCGGGAGGAAUACCAGUGGCGAAGGCGGCCUUCUGGACUGACACUGACACUGAGGUGCGAAAGCGUGGGUAGCAAACAGGAUUAGAUACCCGGGUAGUC
rnacentral:rRNA from 1 species